AAGAGUCUAACCUGCCCAGUGAUAUUUAUUUAACGGCCGCGGUACUCUGACCGUGCAAAGGUAGCAUAAUCAUUUGCCUUAUAAUUGAAGGCUUGUAUGAAUGGUUUCACAAGAAUUAGUCUGUCUCCUAUAAAUUAAAAUGAAAUUGACUUUUAGGUGCAAAGGCCUAAAUAUUAUUAAUAGACAAGAAGACCCUAUUGAGCUUUAAAAAUCAUAGUAAUGUAAGUUAUAUUAAAAAUAAAAUUAUAAAUUAUUAACUUUUUUAGUUGGGGCGACUAUUGGAACAAAUAAAACUUCCAGAACUUUACGAAUAGUUUAGUAUUAAUUUAUUUAAAUUAGAUCCAAAAUAUUUUGAUUAAUAGAAUAAGUUACCAUAGGGAUAACAGCAUAAUCUAUCUUAAGAGCUCUAAUCGAAAGAAAGGUUUGUGACCUCGAUGUUGGAUUAAAAUAUCCUAAGGGUGUAGAAGCUCUUGAGGGUUGGUCUGUUCG
rnacentral:rRNA from 1 species